rnacentral:rRNA from 1 species
AGGGAAUAUUGCACCAUGGGCGAAAGCCUGAUGCAGCAACGCCGCGUGAGUGAUGAAGGCCCUCGGGUCGUAAAACUCUUUUCAAGAGGAAGAGGAAGGACGGUACUCUUGGAAUAAGCCUCGGCUAACUACGUGCCAGCAGCCGCGGUAACACGUAGGAGGCGAGCGUUAUUCGGAUCUACUGGGCGUAAAGCGCGUGUAGGCGGCUUAUUAAGUUGGACGUGAAAGCUCCUGGCUUAACUGGGAGAGGACGUUCAAAACUAGUAAGCUUGAGUACGAGAGAGGAAAAUGGAAUUCCGGGUGUAGUGGUGAAAUGCGUAGAUAUCCGGAGGAACACCAGUGGCGAAGGCGAUUUUCUGGCUCGAGACUGACGCUCAGACGCGAAAGCUAGGGUAGCAAACGG